rnacentral:rRNA from 1 species
AUAAAUAUAGUGAAGAGAAUCAUCUCAGUAACUAGGGUAAAAUAGUAAUGGGCGGUUAGUAGUGGCGAGCGAAACCCGUAAUUUAUGUUAUUUUAUGAUUAGAAUUGUUUAAACGCAAACCUUAGGGGGUAAAAGUCCCGUAUAAUUUAAUGAAAUAAUAUAAUAGUAGUAUAGUUUAAUUUAAAAUUAUACAGUUUAUAAAACGCCCCGUUUUUUAAUUUAUAAUUAUAGUUGAUAGCGAAAAGUAGAGUGAUUGAACGAUGUAAAGAACUCACUGAGAGUGCAAUAGAACCUAAAACCUAAUGUAAAUCUAUUGAAGCUAAGGCAACAAUGUACCUUUUGCAUAAUGGACCAGUAAGUUAAAUUAAUUGGCGAGCUUAAUUUAGGAAGGCGUAAUUAAUAUAAUUAAGUUAAUUAAUUUAGACCCGAAGCUAUGUGAUCUAAUCAUGAACAGGUUAUAGACCGAACCGGUGAAUGUGGCAAUAUUCUCGGAUGAUUUGUGAUUAGGGGUGAUAGGCCUAUCAAACAUAGUGAUAGUUGGUUCUCCGCGAAACCUAUUUUAGUAGGAAUAAAAAAAUAUGGAUGGGGGGGUAUUAAAUUUUGUAAAUAAAAAUAAAUGAUUUGUAUUUAAAUUACGAAGAUUUGAGAAUACCUAAUCUAUAGGUUUAUAUCGGUCUAUUGGCGCAAACGUUUAUAGACGAGAGGGGAAUAACCCAGACCAUGAUUUAAGGUUCAUAAACUAUUGUUAAACAUAAGAUUUUAUUUAAUAUAUUAGGAGGUGGGUAUGGAAGCUAUCAUCCUUUAAAGAACGCGUUAUAGCGCACUAUUAUUAUAAUGUAUUUAAAUUAUAAGUUAAGUAAGAUCUAAAAUAUUGAAAUAAACAAUAUACCGAAAAUAUGGAUUUAUGGUAGUGGAGUGUAUUGUAUUUAGUAAAGAUUAAUUGAAAGAUUAGUUAAAUAAAUCAAUAGCAAUAAUGCUGGUAAGAGUAGCUUUUAAUGUGAGAAUCAUUAAUAUCGUAUAUUCUAGAGUUAUUACGGAAGAGUUAUUCACGUAAUGUUAAUCGACCCCUAAGGUAAAAACUAAAGUUUGGGGCUGAUGGG